UUCAGUUUUUUCAGCCGCACACGAAAUGGUGUGAGCGAACUUAGAUAUAAUAGUAUUGACGGACUUCAAACCCUUCUUUGCAAACCCUAACUUCUGAGUUUCUCUUCCACCGCAUCCUCCAUAUCAAAUGGAUCUCUAACUUUGUUUUUGAAAGUUGCAGAUUCAAAUCGGUUCCUCAUCUCACUUCUCUUUGCCUUGCAAAAGCGAUCAGAAAUCAAAGACAACUCGCAAGCCAUCUAUUAUGUAUCAGUCAAGGUUAUUUAUGAAUCCAAAGUUCUUUAUUUAUUUAUUUUCAAUUUUUUUUUGUAUCUAAAGUUUUUGAAAGUAGUAGAUUCAAAUGGGUGGAUUCAAAUCGGUUCCUUAUCUCACUUUUCCCUGCCUUUCAUAUUCAGUGGGAUAUCUCUGUAAGAGGUUUGAAAUCUUUUCGGUGAUGAAUCUCUGUAAGUGGUUUGAAAUCUUUUCGGUGAUGAAUACCGAACCCUUCCUAAUACACGUACACACCAAACAUACACAACGAGAUAUUUAAAACCCUAAUUCAUAUUUGUUCUUCUGUCGCAUCUCUGGUCUCUUUCUUUUAUUCACCGUUACUUUUAGAUUCAGUCCAAUCGCGUCUUUUUAUUUUCUCUCCACCUUCUUUGCAUAUUUUUUGCAGUGGCAGCUGAUUGUGCUCUAUGGUAAAUUUAUCUCUAUGUAGGUUCGGGUUCAUGAUGUUGAUUAUCCUCUUGAUUUUUGAUUUAUCUCACUCCGUUUUUGAUUUUCUUUCCAUUUUGAGUCAAUAACAAUAUUUAGAGUCAGUAACCAUUGAUAGAGUUGGAUCAACAAUAUUUAGACUCAGUAACGAUGUUUGUUGUUACAGAAAGUCAACGAAUCCGUUAGUAGCAGAAAAUGGUGGUACUGCAACCAAAUUCAAUAGCUUUAACCUUGAUUGCACUGUAUUGGUGAUCCGAACCCAAACCAUAUUCGAUAGCUAACCAAACUUAAAUAGUACGUGGAGGUUCUGGAACUAACCGAAUCUUUCAAUGCAGCCCACAUGGAAGCAAAUGUGCCAUUAUGAAUGUAAAUAUUUGUAUAAAAGACGCUGAGAUUGGUGGUGGAAUUGGUGGGGAGAAGCUUACUGGAGUUAGCUGUGAGGCUGUAUAGCUAAGGUGAUCCAUUUCUUGCGUUCUUCUAUUUUCAUAUGAUGUUUUUUUAUAGUUACUAUUGUUGCUUAAUUUCUUAAUUAUAUUUACCACUUCUUUUAUAACUUACCACUUCUUUUAUGCAAUUAUGCUUCACUUUAUCUAUGCUUCAGUUGGUAGCUUAAUAUAGUUUCAUGCCAAUCAAAACUAAGGGCCAUGGAACGCUUCAAUUUGUGUAGAGUAUACCAAAACCUGAUAACCAAACUGAUACCAUAGUUGAACACCAAUAUUCUUUCAUAAUUGAGCAAUCUGGCACAACUACUUCUUCCACUAUAUCGAAUGCAUUUGUGUAAGGUAUAUCAGGUGGGAGCACAAAAUGCAGCAGCGCGUUAUGUUGUCCUCGUGACCAUUAGCGCCUAAUUUUUGUGACUGCUGGGAUUCUAUAUUUUUUUCUACUUGGAGAAAGGAAACUUUUCAUUUGGCGAAACCAUUUCGAAGACUCAUGUUUACUGGAAAUUCUCAAAUCGUACUCAUCUCUGCCUGUUCUUCCCUGUGCUCAACUGUAAAUUAAUACUGAACACUAUCUAGAAAGAUUUGAACGUGCCAAAAGCGUGGCCAAAUCCUAAAGUCCCUUGCGCCGAUGGCGCACAAGAGGUUGAUUCCAGCAACAGUCAACUUGAGAUUUUUUGUCAGUGGACCUGCUUUUUACCGAUCUUUAUUAGGUUCCUUCUCAUGUCUUGGAGACUGUAGAUGAUAAUACCAUACGGGUCUACGUUUAUGCCUCUAACACCUUUAGCGAAGCUUGCCCAAGAAUGGGUUGCAGUUCAUGGGAUUGGGGUAGACGAUGAAGGAAUAGCGAACAAGCCAUGGGAACAUCUAGCUAAGCUUUGGAAGGGAACUGUUGAGUUUAUUACUCCGACAAGAUAUAUGGUGCAACCUCUGAUACCACCAACAUGAUUAGCAACCACUUUCGGUUGCUAUAAUUUUCCAGAUUCAUACUGUUAAGUAUCACUUGCAAUGCAGGUAGCGAAGGCUAGCUUUGGUCCAAUUCUAUUAAAAAAAGUUUCUACCAAGUGUCAUUUUUAUGGAUGAACUACAUGUGUCUAACGGAGAAAAUAUGUCCAGAAGGUUAUAUAUGAAUGAGAUGGAGGAUCUAAAUGAUGGUGAAACUGGAAAUGCAGAAUACUUCAUAAAAGUUAAGGACAAUAUGAGAAAGAAAAAUACACCUACUUUGGGAUAUAAGCUAAAGUUGGCUGGCACUUUUUAUCGUUUCCUCUCCCAAAACUUUUCAGCAGAAAAUGGUUAAAAGACUACCAAGUAGGGAACCACAUUUGUCGUACGCAAUUGUAACGAGUGUAACAUGUCUGAUGAACUUAAUCCCGUGCAAUGCACGGGUAAGACACUAGUAGUAAUAAAAAAAGGGUUAAAUGGCUUCU